AAUCAACGCUGGCGGCGUGCCUCAGACAUGCAAGUCGAACGAUUAAAGCUCUCUUCGGAGAGUGUAUAGAGUGGCGCACGGGUGAGUAACACGUAAGUAAUCUACCCUCGAGUGGGGAAUAACAACCGGAAACGGUUGCUAAUACCGCAUAAUGCAGCGGCACCGCAAGGUGACAGUUGUUAAAGAUUUAUCGCUUGAGGAGGAGCUUGCGGCAGAUUAGCUAGUUGGUAGGGUAACGGCUUACCAAGGCUACGAUCUGUAACCGGUCUAAGAGGACGGUCGGUCACACUGACACUGAAUAAACGGGUCAGACUCCUACGGGAGGCAGCAGUCGGGAAUUUUGGGUC
rnacentral:rRNA from 1 species